CAGGAGGGAAAUUCAGUCAUUAAGCAAUACGGGAUCCUAGUGUUGGAAUUCUACACACUGCAAGAAAUGAUUCUGUUUAAGAAGGUAAAGUGAUAUGUACCCAGAAAAGCGCAGAUUUUGCAAUCCUACCCUAUAAUGGCUUCUACAUACCUCAAUACUACUAGGGAUGCACCGAAAUGAAAAUUCUGGUCCAAGACCGAAAAUUCAGGAUGCCCUUGGCCGAAAAACGAAAC